GACAGAGGGUGCGAACGUUGCUCGGAAUGACUGGGCGUAAAGCGCGUGCAGGCGGCUUCGCAAGUCCGAUGUGAAAGCCCAGGGCUCAACCCUGGAAGUGCAUUGGAAACUACGAAGCUCGAGUCCUGGAGAGGAGAGCGGAAUUCCCGGUGUAGAGGUGAAAUUCGUAGAUAUCGGGAGGAACACCAGUGGCGAAGGCGGCUCUCUGGACAGGUACUGACGCUGAGACGCGAAAGCGUGGGUAGCAAACAGG
rnacentral:rRNA from 1 species